rnacentral:rRNA from 1 species
UACGAGGGGGGCGAGCGUUGUUCGGAAUUAUUGGGCGUAAAGGGCGCGUAGGCGGUCGGAUAAGUCUUGUGUGAAAUCUUCGGGCUCAACUCGAAGUCUGCACAGGAAACUAUCUGGCUUGAGUGUGGGAGAGGUGAGUGGAAUUCCUGGUGUAGCGGUGAAAUGCGUAGAUAUCAGGAGGAACACCUGUGGCGAAGGCAGUUCUCUGGGCCGUAACUGACGCUGAGGAGCGAAAGCGUGGGGAGCGAACAGG